rnacentral:rRNA from 1 species
CAGUUCCUACGGGACGCAGCAGUGGGGAAUAUUGGGCAAUGGGCGAAAGCCUGACCCAGCAACGCCGCGUGAAGGAAGAAGGCUUUCGGGUUGUAAACUUCUUUUGACAGGGAAGAGCAGAAGACGGUACCUGUCGAAUAAGCCACGGCUAACUACGUGCCAGCAGCCGCGGUAAUACGUAGGUGGCAAGCGUUGUCCGGAUUUACUGGGUGUAAAGGGCGUGUAGCCGGGCUGACAAGUCAGAUGUGAAAUCCGGGGGCUCAACCCCCGAACUGCAUUUGAAACUGUUGUGCUUGAGUAUCGGA